GAUGAACGCUGGCGGCGUGCCUAAUACAUGCAAGUCGAGCGAAUGGAUUAAGAGCUUGCUCUUAUGAAGUUAGCGGCGGACGGGUGAGUAACACGUGGGUAACCUGCCCAUAAGACUGGGAUAACUCCGGGAAACCGGGGCUAAUACCGGAUAACAUUUUGAACCGCAUGGUUCGAAAUUGAAAGGCGGCUUCGGCUGUCACUUAUGGAUGGACCCGCGUCGCAUUAGCUAGUUGGUGAGGUAACGGCUCACCAAGGCAACGAUGCGUAGCCGACAUGAGAGGGGGAUCGGCCACACUGGGACUGAGAAACGGGCCAGACUCCUACGGGAGGCAGCAGUAGGGAAUCUUCCGCAAUGGACGAAAGUCUGACGGAGCAACGCCGCGUGAGUGAUGAAGGCUUUCGGGUCGUAAAACUCUGUUGUUAGGGAAGAACAAGUGCUAGUUGAAUAAGCUGGCACCUUGGCGGUACCUAACCAGAAAGCCACGGCUAACUACGUGCCAGCCGCCGCAGUAA
rnacentral:rRNA from 1 species